rnacentral:rRNA from 1 species
CUCCAAGGCUAAAUACUCCUGACUGACCGAUAGUGAACCAGUACCGUGAGGGAAAGGCGAAAAGAACCCCGGCGAGGGGAGUGAAAAAGAACCUGAAACCGUGUACGUACAAGCAGUGGGAGCACGCUUAGGCGUGUGACUGCGUACCUUUUGUAUAAUGGGUCAGCGACUUAUAUUCUGUAGCAAGGUUAACCGAAUAGGGGAGCCGAAGGGAAACCGAGUCUUAACUGGGCGUUAAGUUGCAGGGUAUAGACCCGAAACCCGGUGAUCUAGCCAUGGGCAGGUUGAAGGUUGGGUAACACUAACUGGAGGACCGAACCGACUAAUGUUGAAAAAUUAGCGGAUGACUUGUGGCUGGGGGUGAAAGGCCAAUCAAACCGGGAGAUAGCUGGUUCUCCCCGAAAGCUAUUUAGGUAGCGCCUCGUGAAUUCAUCUCCGGGGGUAGAGCACUGUUUCGGCAAGGGGGUCAUCCCGACUUACCAACCCGAUGCAAACUGCGAAUACCGGAGAAUGUUAUCACGGGAGACACACGGCGGGUGCUAACGUCCGUCGUGAAGAGGGAAACAACCCAGACCGCCAGCUAAGGUCCCAAAGUCAUGGUUAAGUGGGAAACGAUGUGGGAAGGCCCAGACAGCCAGGAUGUUGGCUUAGAAGCAGCCAUCAUUUAAAGAAAGCGUAAUAGCUCACUGGUCGAGUCGGCCUGCGCGGAAGAUGUAACGGGGCUAAACCAUGCACCGAAGCUGCGGCAGCGACGCUGAUGCGUUGUUGGGUAGGGGAGCGUUCUGUAAGCCUGCGAAGGUGUGCUGUGAGGCAUGCUGGAGGUAUCAGAAGUGCGAAUGCUGACAUAAGUAACGAUAAAGCGGGUGAAAAGCCCGCUCGCCGGAAGACCAAGGGUUCCUGUCCAACGUUAAUCGGGGCAGGGUGAGUCGACCCCUAAGGCGAGGCCGAAAGGCGUAGUCGAUGGGAAACAGGUUAAUAUUCCUGUACUUGGUGUUACUGCGAAGGGGGGACGGAGAAGGCUAUGUUGGCCGGGCGACGGUUGUCCCGGUUUAAGCGUGUAGGCUGGUUUUCCAGGCAAAUCCGGAAAAUCAAGGCUGAGGCGUGAUGACGAGGCACU